UACGAAGGGGGGCUAGCGUUGCUCGGGAAUUACUGGGCGUAAAGCGCACGUAGGCGGCUUUCUAAGUCGGGGGGUGAAAUCCUGGAGCUCAACUCCAGAACUGCCUUCGAUACUGGAAAGCUCGAGUCCGGGAGAGGUGAGUGGAACUGCGAGUGUAGAGGUGAAAUUCGUAGAUAUUCGCAAGAACACCAGUGGCGAAGGCGGCUCACUG
rnacentral:rRNA from 1 species